GACGUAGGGCGCGAGCGUUGUCCGGAUUUAUUGGGCGUAAAGAGCUCGUAGGCGGCUUGUCGCGUCGUCCGUGAAAACUUGGGGCUCAACCCCAAGCUUGCGGUCGAUACGGGCAGGCUCGAGUUCGGUAGGGGAGACUGGAAUUCCUGGUGUAGCGGUGAAAUGCGCAGAUAUCAGGAGGAACACCGGUGGCGAAGGCGGCUCUCUGGGGCUUACCUGACGCUGAGGCGCGAAAGCUGGGGGAGCGAACAGG
rnacentral:rRNA from 1 species